rnacentral:lncRNA from 1 species
CCUCUCAAGAUCCUUGAGUUUGACAAUGAGAACUAUUUAUUUGGUUAUAUUUGGUGUUUGGUUAUGUCACGACACAUUUGAAACUUCAUUGUUUUUCUUUGUUAUAGUAUAGUAUGUAUUCUUAUAUGAAAUGUGAGGAAAGAUAGGGGUAAAAAAGGAAUUGCAGAAAAAAAGAUUUAAUCAAAAUGAAAACUAUAACUAAGAAAAAUUGGGAAAAGAGGGGUUCGGGAAACAACAACCAGGUAGCAGUGAAGCGGUUGAAUUUCACCUGACAUUCAACAACAACAGCAUCAUAGCAUAACAAUCAUUCCCUUCUUUCUUUUUCGAAAGUUUCAAUUGAAUUUCUCAAAUUAAUUCGUGUUGUUCACAUCACGCAAAUAAUUGAUUGAUCAUCAUCUCAUACAAGAAUGGCGGAAGGGAGUAAUACUCCUGUUCUUCUUCCUGAUUUGUUGAAAAACACGCCUUCCAAUAUAGCUAGAUUGGAAGAUGUUGUUCGUUGGUAUUUUUGUAAGACCUCUUUAGCCCCUAAUGGUAUGUACUAUGUCUUAUCAUCAAUUUGUAGUUUUUGUUGUGUUAAUUUAAUUUUAUAUUACUUUACUACUUUAUUAGUAUGUAUCCCUUUUGAUUGAUUAAUAUGUUUUGUUCUGCUUUGAAAAUGAUUGAUUUUGAUUUUGAAUGAAUUGAUUCUGACUAAAAGUGAGUUGCGGGUGGAUUGAUUUGUGUUUAGAUUCAUUCAUCUAGAAGUAAUAAUCAAUUAUAGAAUCAAAGGCUACAAAUAGUAGAAUUGAUUUUAGUCCCCAAACUUGAUUUCUAAGAAAAGAUCAAAAUCGGGUUAUUAGCAUUUAGAUUUCAGAUUUUUGUUGAAAACAAAUGUUUAAUUGUUCGGUGUAGUUUUGGGCAGGGAGUACUAGGAUUAUAGAAGUUCUUUUAUGUAAUUAGCAGCAAAACAGGGCAUGAGAUGUGUUGGGUUUAUCUCCAACUAUUAUGGCCAUGGGGCUCUGCCAUUAUUUCUUAAGCAUGAAAUUGUGACUAUGAAAGGUUCAACAUUUUCUUUUGAUUUGUAUUGGUUGAUACGUGAAUUAGUUUUUGCCAAUUAAUCAUAUUUAAUAUUGGCUACUCUAAUUAUUUGGAAUUGAUAAAGAUCAUUUUCUCAUGAUUGAUUCAAAAGAUAUCAAUGGACUUGGCAGUUAUUUUGAUGGAAUAUCAAUUGCUAUAACUACUGUUAAUUCUAAUUAUUGAGACUUUUCACUCCCAACACUAAAAAAAAAAAACUGAUAUUGCAAAUGACUGUUUGGUUGGGUAGUGGGAUUUUAAUGAGAUAUCCACAUUUGUGUAGGUUGGAAUUGAUAAAGAUCAUUUUCUCAUGAUUGAUUCAAAGGAUAUCAAUGGACUUGGCAGUUAUUUUGAUGGAAUAUCAAUUGCUAUAACUACUGUUAAUUCUAAUUAUUGAGACUUUUCACUCCCAACACUAAAAAAAAAAAACUGAUAUUGCAAAUGACUGUUUGGUUGGGUAGUGGGAUUUUAAUGAGAUANGUUUUGGCUAGAACAGUCACCUUUGUUGGUGUAUACCCGAUUGACAUAGGUGAAGCUUUAGGCCUUUACCAUGCGAUUCAAUGGGCGAGUGAUAUGCACUUAGAUAAUUUUGAUUUUGAAGUCGACUCCAAAACCACAAAAGACGCUCUUUACUCGAGUCGGGAAGACAUAACUGAAUUUGGCAACAUCAUCACAUAUUCCCGGUCUUUGCUCUCGUCCAAGUUUACCAACUCUCGAGUGGAGUUUGUUUGGCGACAAGCUAUUAUAAUGUGGUGUCUCACACUCUCGCAGGGAAAGCCACAUUUCUCGCUAGUCCCACUAUUUAUUUUCAUAUACCCAAUUGUAUUGAAACUUUGAUUACUAAUGAAAUGCUAUAAACACUUUUCUCUAAAAAAAAAAGUUAUUUAAUCAUAACAAAUUAAUCCUUUAAGUAUUGUUUGUAACACUUAGGUGCUUUAAGUUAUUUAAUUGUAACUUUUAGAUCCCGAAUAACUUGCAUUUUUAAGAUAUGAAAUUCCUCAAAUUGUUAAGGUAAAAUAACACAAAGGACCUUGUUGGUACAAGAAAAACUUAAAGGACCAUCUUGUUCGAGCUAAUUAACUUAAAUGACCUAAGUGAUAUGAAAAAAACUUAAAUACCAAUUUAUUACAAUAAAAUAACUUAAUGAUCUCUAAUAUAAUUUAACCCUAUAAUUAUUAUUGCAAGUUUUCUAUGACUGAUUAUUAUUGUAAGUGUUCGCCAACAAAACCACUUCAAACGAAUAAUUGAGUUAUUUUAUUUUUGAUAUUCUUUGGUGGAUGAGUCAGUGAAACGGAUACAUUUGUUAUUGAUUAUUUGUUUUGAUUCUUUCCUGGUCAAUUUGGGCGUCUUGCCUUUUUGGGGUUUUGCUGUUGUUGUAGCCUCCUGUAGUACCUAUGAUGAUGUUGUUUAUUUUUUUAUUAUGGCUACUUUGUUUCCUGUAGUUUAGAGGCAGCCGUUGUUUUUGUUGAGGGGGAUUUAUUUUAUGUUUUGAUACUGUUAAUUUAUUUCACAUUUGUUAAUAUAUUUUACAUUUGCUAAUAUUUUGAUGGGUCAUGUUAACCAAUGUCUCCGGAUCACUGGUUAAGAAAGUCAGAAAAAGAAAUUAUAAAUUAAAAAAGAUAUUUUUUAAACUUUUAAUGCAUUGAUUAUACAACUUUUAAUGUAAAUAUUACUUUUUAUGUGAAACUGAUUAAGAUUUCUCUUCCUAAAAAUAUAAUAACAAUUGGUUAACAUUUAGCGACCGUCAGUUAACCUCUUCCAAUAAGAUCUCUGAACUAUCAUUGAUGUUAUUCUUUUUAUUGUUAAUAUGAGUUUAUUCUUAUUGUUGUUGAUAUUUUGAGCUUGUUGUUCUUGUUAUUAUUUAUAUCACGGAGACGGAUGACCCUAAAUUUCAAGUAGAACUCCACCAUGGAGGACAAUUUUUUAAGGGGAAGUUUGGUAAUGAAUAUAUAGGAGGUAGAACAAUGGAAGGGCUUGAAUAUGAUUCGGAUCACUAGAAAUUAUUGUUGUAUUGAAGAAGUUAGAAUACAAUGGUUAAUCCAAGAGUAGUAGCUCCUUAAGGAUGUGGACACAUCGAAAUAAAUUUGUGUAGCAAAUAACCAUUUGAAAGUUAAUCCUUAGCAAAUAGAAGUCAUCGAUGAAUGAUAUGAAGCUCGACAAGGUGGACGUUACUUGCACUUACAAUGUAACCUGAUAAAUUUGAGAUCCAAGACUCAAGUAAGCUUCCAAUUAUAGUUUUAAUAGGGUUGCUUAAACAAUUGUCAUCAACAUUAAUCCAUUUGGGUUGAUCUGGUGGUAUUGACUUGAGAUAUAGGAGUGUGCUCCUCCUCAAAGUCUCAGGUUUUGAUUCUCCCUGUGCAAUUUGGAUGAAUUAAUUUAGCUUCUUUAAAAAAAUUGUCAUCAAAAUUAUUAAUGAUGCAAUUGUGAUGAGAAGAAUUUGAUUAAACCUAUUUGUCCAUAAGACUUGUAUUCGGUGAACUAGAAAAGCAAGUCAUGUUAUGAAUAACACACAUGUUGUUAGCUUCCAUUGUAAGAUGAUAAGACGAGAUCGCAGUAUUAGAAACACAACUAAAGUUGUGGUUUUCCAAGACUUCCACACCUCAUCAACGAAGAUGUUGGCAUUAUGUGAAGUGAGCCCUUGCCUGAACCUAACUUUCGAAAGGAUCAAACUCAGAUAAAAAAGAUAAGUCCAUGGUGGGGUAUUGCAGGUGGGGUAUUGAAGAGAUCAUAGUAUUCGCUGCCAAUUGAAAAGCCAACAAAACCAUUACCCCAUUCUUCCUUCUUCCUCCCUUCAUAUUUCUUUUUGACGUCAUGGUGGGGUACUGUUUGGCCGCGUUGUCCAUAAAUUUUAGAGAAAUGAUAUUUAAACAUUUAUUUUUUGACAACUUUUGUGACAACUUUCUGUCUCAUAUUCACAUUAUUUUUUACUUUAUCUCUCUAUUGCUUUGAUUUUCGUGUCAAUACUUACUUUUUCUUUGUAAAUUAUGGUUGUCCCAUAAGUUGUCCACUAAAUGGUUGUUUAAAUAACACUCCUCCAUAAUUUAACGUUAGAAGUCAAUAACAUCAUGUUGUCAAGAAGAUGUACGAGGAAAAGAACAGCAUCAAAAUUUGCUCUAGAUAGAGGAAUAAUACUAGUAAAAGUUUAUGGUCAGUCAACUCAAGUCCAACACCUUACCUUUACAAAUUUGUGUCAUUUGGUCAAUUGUGUAUACCUCUGCAAAUAUAUAUUCGAAUAUUAUAUGAGUGAAUUAAGGUUUAGUGUUACACGUCACACAAACAUUGCUAAAAUAGACUAACUAUUUUAUGAAGGUUUAUUUUAGCAAUUUACACAUUUUCUUUUGGAUAAAAAGACCCAUUUAAUUACAUUUUGUUUGAUAAUGCCUUGUCGAAAAUUACAACUUUAUCUUUCAAUUUUGAUUUUUUUCUUUUCAAAAAGCAAAAUUUGGUAUUCUGUCCAAGUGAAAAGCCGUUGGUUGCUAAAAUACUCAUUCAUAAAAAUGUGUGGUUAUUUAUAUAAACACAUACGUUACUAUGUCGAGAUUCACAAUAGUCCAGCUACCCUGCCUUUCCCCCUCUUACGUGUCUAUAUAUGAGUCCUACUCCAUGGAACUCAACAUUCUAACAUAUAAAAAAGGACUUUUAGCAUCUCUAAAGUAGAUUCACUAUAUCCUACCAUUCACUCUUGCUAAUAUACUAAUUUAAUGUCAGAUUGCUUGCAUAUAUAUGCAAAAUAUAACAUAUAAUAUAUAAUAUAUUAAAAAGUAACAUUAUAGAAUGACAGCUUUAAAAAAAGUUAUAAAUAAUGAAUGAUUUUUCAAACAUAUAAAUUAGUAAAAUAUUUUGUUAUUUAUUGAUUUAUUAUAACUAAAGUGGAGACAUCUUAAUAUAUAAUACAAAGGUUCACAAUGCAUGCUUCAUUUGCCUAAAACCUAAUUCCCUAACCCUAAUUUAUUUAAUUCUGAUCUUUGAGUUCCAAAUGUAACUGCACUGGAUGAUUAUGAUUGAAAUGCACACAGCCACAGGCUUUUGGUUUUCUCCAUUCUGCAAUGAAUUCUUUGCCGUUACAAUUUUGCUCUCCUUUAUAAACAACAUAUCAGGAUUUGUCAUUCCACCAUCUCCAAACCCUCCUGCGCCGCAGACAUGGCUUUCCACCAUAACAAUGUGGCGAUGCUCUCUUACAGCAUGUUGAUUGGUAUGUAUGCACAAGUUUUUCUUAAAAAUUCCCUUAUUUUUGCGGUUUGAAGCAUGAUAUUUGGUGUGUCAUUUUUUUGCAGCACCACUUGAUCCCAAUCCAGUGACAGAAAUGGAUAGGAGGAUCAACGAGCUACGCCUUAAGUAUAGGACAUACAUGGUUGAAGUUGACGUUGACUAUGUGUGUGGUUUUGUAUGGUCUGUUUUCCUUCCAUCUGUUAUUCUUUUUUAAAACCCUAACAACGUUUUUUGUUUCCACAGGGUGCUAUUAUGAUGCCAAUGAUGUUUUCCCAUGAUUUUGGAGACCAGAUCCAACAAUAUGCUACUCUGGUAGAUCCAAAACGCAAUCAGUUUGAAGUGCUGGUUGAAAGGAAUAACCAGGGGAUUUAUUUAACAAAGGGCUGGCACGCUAUCCGUGAUUUCUACAAAGUGCAGUUUGGUUCCUGGGUUACAGUUGUGUUUAUGGGAGAUGGAAGGUUUGAUAUUAGAAUGAAGAACAAGUUUGGUAAAAGAAUUCGUUACCCAACUUUUAACCCACCAAUGAAUUUUAGGGUUGAGCACAGUGCUGUUCCAGUCACCGUUGACUGGUUUGUUCCAAGGCCAUUCAUGCAUGACGGGAUGAACUUUCAGUUCACUUACGAGAAAAAGCUUGCUGUUGCUGAUGUUGAAAGUGGAUUUUUGGUACACGUUAAGCAUCAUCGUGUUAAACAAUUACACAUAUUUUUCGUAUAUUUUUGAAUAAGGCUGAAACAUUUUUUAUGUUUUUUUAGGAACUUGCUGAAGUUGGUUUUGCUCAAAUGGCUUUGGAUAGAGAAACUUCGAUAGUAGAUAUGGUGGACGAAAAUGGCAACAUAUGGAACUGCACCCUCAGUUUUUCAAUGAAUCCUGCUCCAAACUUCAAGAUUGGAGGAGGUUGGGAGCUUAUGGUCAAGGCUAGAAAGUUCGCGGAGGGUGUACGUGUGGUGGUUGGUGCUCCUGCGGUUGGCAUGAAUUUAACCCUCUACUUCUGUGUGAUUCGUCGUUGAGUUUAGGUUACCAGUUUGAUCUAAGACAUUUUGUACUAAGCUUUGAUGUAAUUUUCCAUUGUGGUGUUUCUGUCCUUUCCGUUUUCUGUUUUUCAUGAAUAACACAAUGCAAUCCUUUGAGUAUUUUGCAUUUCACAGAGAAUUUUUGUUAUGUUCUUUUCUGUUUUCUUUGUGCCAAUCAAGAUAUAUAUUAAUGUAAUUGUUAAUUUCUGCAUAAUUUGGAGCGAGAUCGAGGUGAUUUUCUGCAUCAUUUAGAGCUGGUUUAUAUGUUACAUUCAAGAUGAAUUACAAAUCGCAUUUCAGGUUUGUGAAGUCGAACAUUGGAAGAACGACUCAUUUGAACAAUAUCAAUUAUAUUAAAGGCACAAGCACAAAUGAUAUUAUGAUUGGUGUUGGAAUCCAAGGGAGUGUUUGAGGCCAAGGUGUUGAUGUGCCUUGCGGGGUAGGAAUGUCUUGGCAACAGUUUCUUGGUCUGUUUUGGUGCUGACUUUUUUGCGGUUGUGCACUUUUAGGCUUGCUGAUUUUUAGUUUACUGAUUUUUUAGCAGUUGUGCUGCAUUUCUGUUUAGUAGCAGCAGCUGCUUUUUUGGUGCCUUUUGCUGUCACUAGCACUUCCCUUUUGGUGUAUUUCUUUUUGCCAAACUUUGAGUUUGAUAUUGAUAUUGAUAUUGGAUUGUUGUACUGAGAAAGUGGGGUGGACUUCUUUAUGUGUUCUUACUUAAUGCCUCUCAAGAUCCUUGAGUUUGACAAUGAGAACUAUUUAUUUGGUUAUAUUUGGUGUUUGGUUAUGUCACGACACAUUUGAAACUUCAUUGUUUUUCUUUGUUAUAGUAUAGUAUGUAUUCUUAUAUGAAAUGUGAGGAAAGAUAGGGGUAAAAAAGGAAUUGCAGAAAAAAAGAUUUAAUCAAAAUGAAAACUAUAACUAAGAAAAAUUGGGAAAAGAGGGGUUCGGGAAACAACAACCAGGUAGCAGUGAAGCGGUUGAAUUUCACCUGACAUUCAACAACAACAGCAUCAUAGCAUAACAAUCAUUCCCUUCUUUCUUUUUCGAAAGUUUCAAUUGAAUUUCUCAAAUUAAUUCGUGUUGUUCACAUCACGCAAAUAAUUGAUUGAUCAUCAUCUCAUACAAGAAUGGCGGA